rnacentral:rRNA from 1 species
UACGUAGGGCGCAAGCGUUGUCCGGAAUUAUUGGGCGUAAAGAGCUCGUAGGUGGUUUGUCGCGUCUGCCGUGAAAGCCCGGGGCUUAACUCCGGAUCUGCGGUGGGUACGGGCAGACUAGAGGUGAUGUAGGGGAGACUGGAAUUCCUGGUGUAGCGGUGAAAUGCGCAGAUAAUCAGGAGGAACACCGAUGGCGAAGGCAGGUCUCUGGGCAUUAACUGACGCUGAGGAGCGAAAGCAUGGGGAGCGAACAGG